GACGAACGCUGGCGGCGUGCUUAACACACGCAAGUCGAACGAAGUGGCGAACGGGUGAGUAACGCGUAAUCAACCUGCCCUUCAGAGGGGGCCAACAGUUGGAAACGACUGCUAAUACCCCAUACUGAAGGAGGUGAUUGCGUCUGAUGAGCUAGUUGGAGGGGUAACGGCCCACCAAGGCGAUGAUCAGUAGCCGGUCUGAGAGGAUGAACGGGCACAUUGGGACUGGGAAACUGCCCAGACUCCUACGGGAGGCAGCAGUGGGGAAUCUUCCGAAAUGGACGAAAGUCUGACGGAGCAACGCCGCGGGAGUGAUGACGGCCUUCGGGUUGUAAAGCUCUGUUAAUCGGGACGCGGUACCGGAAUAGAAAGCCACGGCUAACUACGUGCCAGCAGCCGCGGUAAUAC
rnacentral:rRNA from 1 species